AAAAACCACAGCAAACCAUGGGAAGAUCAUGGAAAACCCUUGAAAAAGCAUGGAAAACCAUAGAAAACCCAUGAAAACUCAUGGAAAAACCAUGGGAAAAUCAUGGGAAAACCAUGGAAAACCACGGAAAAACCACGAAAACUCACGGAAAACGAGGCAAAAACCCUGGAAAACAACGGAACGCCGCAGAAAACCACGGAAAGCCUCCGGAAAAUUCCCGGACUCACCCUGAGCUCGGCGUCCCAGAGCUUCCAGCCCCUCCGGAGGCGCUUGAGGCCGCGGCCGGCGCCGCCCUCGCCGAGGAUGUUGGGAGCGAAGAGCGACGGGAGGCGCCGGCCCGGCCCCCGCGCCGGGAACGCCGGGAAUGCCGGGAAUGCCGGGAAUGCCGGGAAUGCCGGGAAGCGCCGCUCCCGGCCCCAGCCCGGCCAGCCCCGCGCCCCAAAAUCCUCCCGGAAUUUGCCCUGGAAUUGCUGCUCCCGGGGCGGCUGCGGGCGGCCGUAGAAGUCGCCGGCGUCGGGCUCGGAUUCGCCGGGAUAAUCGUUGGGAUAAUCGUUGGGAUAAUC
rnacentral:lncRNA from 1 species